rnacentral:rRNA from 1 species
UACGUAGGGUGCAAGCGUUAAUCGGAAUUACUGGGCGUAAAGCGUGCGCAGGCGGUUAUGUAAGACAGUUGUGAAAUCCCCGGGCUCAACCUGGGAACUGCAUCUGUGACUGCAUAGCUAGAGUACGGUAGAGGGGGAUGGAAUUCCGCGUGUAGCAGUGAAAUGCGUAGAUAUCCGGAGGAACACCGGUGGCGAAGGCGGCUUCCUGGACCGACACUGACGCUGAGGCGCGAAAGCUAGGGGAGCAAACGGG